rnacentral:ncRNA from 2 species
AGAAUGACCGGUGGUGCUGGUUCGCCCCGCCGACAGCUUGGUGGGGCGUCGUAAGAGGGAACCCGGUGGAAGACCGGGACUGCCCCGCAGCGGUAAGCGGGAACGACCGCCGUCAUUGAAGCACUGGACCCGCGAGGGUCUGGGAAGCGACGGCCAGUAGGCGACCACCAUGGUCACGCCCGUGAGUCCGAAGACCUGCCAGCACUGCGCACACCGC